UACGAGGGGGGCAAGCGUUGUUCGGAAUUAUUGGGCGUAAAGGGCGCGUAGGCGGUGCGGUAAGUCACCUGUGAAAACUCUGGGCUCAACUCAGAGCCUGCAGGCGAAACUGCCGGGCUUGAGUGUGGGAGAGGUGAGUGGAAUUUCCGGUGUAGCGGUGAAAUGCGUAGAUAUCGGAAGGAACACCUGUGGCGAAGGCGGGUUGCUGGGCUGAUACUGACGCUGAGGCGCGAAAGCCAGGGGAGCAAACGGG
rnacentral:rRNA from 1 species